GGUAGGCGCGUCAUCUUCACGUUUCACGUCGUAGGUCAUGUUUAAAUCGUACGUGUAUUCUGGCCCGAAUCUCCAUUCCGAAGUGUUGUUAAUGACGACAUUGGCCGCUGAGCAAAGGGAAAAAGAUUUGCACAGAUGAAUGCGACAUUACAUGGUGCAUGUAUACAUUCGUAAAUUCAGUCGUACUUGGUGACUCUUACCGACCUAAGAAGAAUGGAAUCAGGACGACAUUCAUCCCACAGCAAGGUGUUUCGCUACACGCUACGCGUACACUAAUACCAAUCGUCUAACACCCGCAAGCUCCUUUAUAUCAGAACGUGCUUAAUGACAUAGUGUUUGAUAUCGCUUACGUACCAAUCUUAGAGGACGUUUUCACGGACGCAUUUGAUACAUGUGCAUAUACAUAUAUAUAAUAUGAUACAUGUACAAUAUGAUUGAUAAAGAUUUCAUUUUAUUAUUUUAACGCUUCAUGCUAACAAUUUAAUGAGAUUAUUAGGUAUAUAUAUUACAUAUAUUAGGCUAAAUUUGUCUUGUAUUACAUCUUUUAUUACACAAACACGAAUAGAAUACACGUGAAUAGGUGGGAUUUUAGUUUGAAUUCAUUUAUUAAGUUUAUCUUUAUUUAACUUGUCUAAUAAAAUACAUUUAUUACUUGAAA